rnacentral:lncRNA from 1 species
GGGGGGUUUACCCGAUGUAAGGGUGAGAUCUGGUAUAGUUUGUUAGGGAAAGUUAAUUUUUCUUGCGUGAUUGGAAGUUUCGUUGGUGGAGUAUGUUCAGCCAAUUGUAAUUGCUAAGUACAACCAGCAGACGGUGGAUUAACGAGGGCUGUUAGAUUAAGAUCUAUGGGAUUAAUCGUGGGGUGCUGAUUGAUUGUUUUUUUUGUGAGACGUUUGAUUGGGUGUCUGUAGUGUAAUUCUUGUUGGAUUGUUUAAUAGUAG